AUUGGAGUCUGCAACUCGACUCCAUGAAGCUGGAUUCGCUAGUAAUCGCGCAUCAGCCAUGGCGCGGUGAAUACGUUCCCGGGCCUUGUACACACCGCCCGUCAAACCAUGAGAGUUGGCAACACCCGAAGUCGGUAGUCUAACCGCAAGGAGGACGCCGCCGAAGGUGGGGUUGAUGAUUAGGGUUAAGUCGUAACAAGGUAAC
rnacentral:rRNA from 1 species